rnacentral:lncRNA from 1 species
AUGAAAGUUCUGAGGGAGGAGGCUGGUGAGCCCAAAAAAGCUGUUUUGUGCUAUGGGAAAAGGACUGGGUGUGUGGCUGCCUCACCUCACAAAAUGGAGGGGACUACUACUUCCAGUGUGCGGAUCCUGCCUCGCUGCUUUCUACCACCUGGGUUAUUUUAUUCAUCUCCACACGAAGCCAUCGCGACUGAAGUGAGCAGCAGCCUCUUGCCUCCUCCAUCCUGCAGACAGAGCUCUAUCCAUGUAACUUAUGAGCUUGCUGUAGUGGCCAUAAUGACUCUGGGACAGAAAAAUAAAUACUUCAAGGAGACACGUUGACAAAAGAGGAUGGAUAAAAGGCAUCUUGUGCCUUUCCAUGGCAGACUGCUUAAGGACACUUGAAAGCUGGAGUGGCAUGCAGUACCUACUGGGCUGUCUGACAAGCAGUUGAGGUGUAGGUAAGAAACCUGAUGGGUGCUGUGGGUGCUCUCCUGUGCUUUGGUUUAUAUAAUUGAAUCCCCCUGGACUGAAGGGUCGUGAAAUUCCCUGAGGAAAAGCAAUAAGCAAUGAGGCAAUUGCUGAGGGAAGACGUCUAAGAAUACAAAGAAUGUAGUGAAAAUGUAGGGAGAAUGACCUUCUUAUCAAAUCUCUAUCUCCGAUAUCACUCUGAUUCUUUGUGAUUUUAUUUAUUUAUUUUGCUUUCUUGGCUAGUUUAUGAGAAGUAAAGGCAAGAAUAUUCAGAAAUAAUUGUGUAUGAUUAAAGUAAGCCAUUUCACCUGUUCUAAUGGUUCUUGUUUCCUGUAAAGUCAGGAGAGAAAUAUUAAAGAACUGAUCUUCUUAAGGGUUGAUACUGUACUACAGAUUAAGGGUUAAGAUAUUAAACAUCAGGGGCAUUAACUGUUUUGCAUCUGGUUUUACAAAUGAGCAGGGUGGAGAUUUACUUAAACUGUGUCAGAUGUUUAUGGAUAACAGAUGAAGAAUUAGGAAGUGUGCAGAUUAACACGAGUAAUGAUUAAGAAAAGCUUAUGGACUCUAAACCCUCUUAAGGUCUAUGAUAAAUGAUGAGUGAUACAAGAAGGAUAUGCACAAACGUGGUUUGAAGGGGCAUGAAAACUUACACAGCAAGGAUUGCUUAGUUGGCGUCUGAAUUUUGGACAUCAUCAGAAGGAUGGAAUUAACUUUGGCAAACUCAAGCACUGUGGAUACCUUUCUUCUAUCCUGUUCUCUUCCUAUGACCUAUUAGCUCUGAAUUUGGUUGUUGUAUGUUUGCUGCUGUUUACAAAGUGUUGAGAAGCCCUCUGUGGCCUGAAGGAUAUUACCUGGUUGCAUAUGACUGCAUUAAAGUCAGACUUGAAAGGGAAACCUGGGUCAUCUGGCUUUUAAAUGUUAAAUAGGUCAUGUUCUGACACUCUAUUCUUACAUAAGUUGCAAUAAAAAAGGACAUAAUGUGGUUUUGAAGAAAACA